rnacentral:rRNA from 1 species
UUAAUACCGCAUACGAUCUACGGAAGAAAGCGGGGGACCGAAAGGCCUCGCGCUAUAGGGGCGGCCGAUGGCAGAUUAGCUAGUUGGUGGGGUAAAGGCCUACCACGGCGACUAUCUGUAGCUGGUCUGAGAGGACGACCAGCCACACUGGGACUGACACACGGCCCACACUCCUACGGGAGGCAGCAGUGGGGAAUUUUGGACAGUGGGGGCAACCCUGAUCCAGCAAUGCCGCGUGUGUGAAGAAGGCCUUCGGGUUGUAAAGCACUUUUGUCCGGAAAGAAAACUUCUGGGUUAAUACCCCGGGGAGCUGACGGUACCGGAAGAAUAAGCACCGGCUAACUACGUGCCAGCAGCCGCGGUAAUACGUAGGGUGCGAGCGUUAAUCGGAAUUACUGGGCGUAUAGCGUGCGCAGGCGGUUUGUUAAGACAGAUGUGAAAUCCCCGGGCUUAACCUGGAAC